AUUGAACGCUGGCGGCAGGCCUAACACAUGCAAGUCGAACGAGUGGCGGACGGGUGAGUACUGUCUGGGAAACUGCCCGAUGGCGGGGGAUAACUACUGGAAACGGUAGCUAAUACCGCAUACCAUCGGAUGUGCCCAGAUGGGAUUAGCUUGUAGGUGAGGUAACGGCUCACCUAGGCGACGAUCCCUAGCUGGUCUGAGAGGAUGACCAGCCACACUGGAACGGAGACACGGCCCAGACUCCUACGGGAGGCAGCAGGGGGGAAUAUUGCACAAUGGGCGCAAGUCUGAUGAAGCCAUGCCGCGUGUAUGAAGAAGGCCUUCGGGUUGUAAAGUACUUUAAGCGGGGAGGCGUUACCUGCAGAAGAAGCACCGGCUAACUCCGUGCCAGCAGCCGCGGUAAUAC
rnacentral:rRNA from 1 species